UACGUAGGGUGCGAGCGUUGUCCGGAAUUACUGGGCGUAAAGAGCUCGUAGGUGGUUUGUCGCGUUGUCCGUGAAAACUCACAGCUUAACUGUGGGCGUGCGGGCGAUACGGGCAGACUGGAGUACUGCAGGGGAGACUGGAAUUCCUGGUGUAGCGGUGGAAUGCGCAGAUAUCAGGAAGAACACCCGUGGCGAAAGCGGCUCUCUGGGACGGUACUGACGCUGAGACGCGAAAGCGUGGGGAGCAAACAGG
rnacentral:rRNA from 1 species